AUUGAACGCUGGCGGCAUGCCUUACACAUGCAAGUCGAACGGCAGCACGGGAGCAAUCCUGGUGGCGAGUGGCGAACGGGUGGGUAAUAUAUCGGAACGUGCCCAGUAGUGGGGGAUAACUGCUCGAAAGAGCAGCUAAUACCGCAUACGACCUGAGGGUGAAAGGGGGGGAUCGCAAGACCUCUCGCUAUUGGAGCGGCCGAUAUCAGAUUAGCUAGUUGGUGGGGUAAAGGCCUACCAAGGCAACGAUCUGUAGUUGGUCUGAGAGGACGACCAGCCACACUGGGACUGAGACCCGGCCCAGACUCCUACGGGAGGCAGCAGUGGGGAAUUUUGGACAAUGGGCGCAAGCCUGAUCCAGCAAUGCCGCGUGCAGGAAGAAGGCCUUCGGGUUGUAAACUGCUUUUGUCAGGGAAGAAAUCCUCUAGGUUAAUACCCUUGGGGGGAUGACGGUACCUGAAGAAUAAGCACCGGCUAACUACGUGCCAGCCGCCGCGGUAAUAC
rnacentral:rRNA from 1 species